AGCGGCGAACGGGUGAGUAACACGUAGGUGAUCUGCCCAUCAGACGGGGACAACGAUUGGAAACGAUCGCUAAUACCGGAUAGGACGAAAGUUUAAAGGUGCUUCUGGCACCGCUGAUGGAUGAGCCUGCGGCGCAUUAGCUAGUUGGUAGGGUAAAGGCCUACCAAGGCGACGAUGCGUAGCCGACCUGAGAGGGUGAACGGCCACACUGGGACUGAGACACGGCCCAGACUCCUACGGGAGGCAGCAGUAGGGAAUCUUCGGCAAUGGGCGAAAGCCUGACCGAGCAACGCCGCGUGAAUGAUGAAGGCCUUCGGGUUGUAAAAUUCUGUUAUAAGGGAAGAACGACUUUAGUAGGAAAUGGCUAGAGUGUGACGGUACCUUAUGAGAAAGCCACGGCUAACUACGUGCCAGCAGCCGCGGUAAUACGUAGGUGGCGAGCGUUAUCCGGAAUUAUUGGGCGUAAAGAGCGCGCAGGUGGUUGAUUAAGUCUGAUGUGAAAGCCCACGGCUUAACCGUGGAGGGUCAUUGGAAACUGGUCGACUUGAGUGCAGAAGAGGGAAGUGGAAUUCCAUGUGUAGCGGUGAAAUGCGUAGAGAUAUGGAGGAACACCAGUGGCGAAGGCGGCUUCCUGGUCUGUAACUGACACUGAGGCGCGAAAGCGUGGGGAGCAAACAGGAUUAGAUACCCUGGCAGUCCACGCCGUAAACGAUGAGUGCUAAGUGU
rnacentral:rRNA from 1 species